AGAGUUUGAUCCUGGCUCAGGACGAACGCUGGCGGCGCGCCUAACACAUGCAAGUCGAACGGAGCUUAGAGAGCUUGCUUUUUAAGCUUAGUGGCGAACGGGUGAGUAACGCGUGAGUAACCUGCCCUAGAGUGGGGGACAACAGUUGGAAACGACUGCUAAUACCGCAUAAGCCCACGGUACCGCAUGGCACUGAGGGAAAAGGAUUUAUUCGCUUUAGGAUGGACUCGCGUCCAAUUAGCUAGUUGGUGAGGUAACGGCCCACCAAGGCGACGAUUGGUAGCCGGACUGAGAGGUUGAACGGCCACAUUGGGACUGAGACACGGCCCAGACUCCUACGGGAGGCAGCAGUGGGGGAUAUUGCACAAUGGGGGAAACCCUGAUGCAGCGACGCCGCGUGGAGGAAGAAGGUUUUCGGAUUGUAAACUCCUGUCGUUAGGGACGAUAAUGACGGUACCUAACAAGAAAGCACCGGCUAACUACGUGCCAGCAGCCGCGGUAAAACGUAGGGUGCAAGCGUUGUCCGGAAUUACUGGGUGUAAAGGGAGCGCAGGCGGGAAGACAAGUUGGAAGUGAAAACCAUGGGCUCAACCCAUGAAUUGCUUUCAAAACUGUUUUUCUUGAGUAGUGCAGAGGUAGAUGGAAUUCCCGGUGUAGCGGUGGAAUGCGUAGAUAUCGGGAGGAACACCAGUGGCGAAGGCGGUCUACUGGGCACCAACUGACGCUGAGGCUCGAAAGCAUGGGUAGCAAACAGGAUUAGAUACCCUGGUAGUCCAUGCCGUAAACGAUGAUUACUAGGUGUUGGAGGAUUGACCCCUUCAGUGCCGCAGUUAACACAAUAAGUAAUCCACCUGGGGAGUACGACCGCAAGGUUGAAACUCAAAGGAAUUGACGGGGGCCCGCACAAGCAGUGGAGUAU
rnacentral:rRNA from 1 species